ACUGUAUGGUUGUGGGGGUCAUCGCGACUUACUUCGCCAUAGCAAACUCCGAAUACCUGGAAGUAUAAGUACGGGAGACAGAGCACUGGGUGCUAACGUCCAGACUCAAGAGGGAAACAACCCAGACCGCCAGCUAAGGUCCCCAAUAUAAGCUAAGUGGGAAACGAAGUGGGAAGGCUUAGACAGUCAGGAGGUUGGCUUAGAAGCAGCCAUCCUUUAAAGAAAGCGUAAUAGCUCACUGAUCAAGUCGUCCUGCGCGGAAGAUGUAACGGGGCUAAGCUUAUAACCGAAGCUGCGGAUCUCGCAAGAGAUGGUAGAGGAGCGUUCUGUAAGCCUGCGAAGAUGAUCUGAGAAGAUUGUUGGAGGUAUCAGAAGUGCGAAUGCUGACAUGAGUAACGUUAAACGGAGUGAAAUGCUCCGUCGCCGAAAACGCAAGGUUUCCUACGCAACGUUAAUCGACGUAGGGUGAGUCGGCCCCUAAGGUGAGGGCGAAAGCCGUAGCUGAUGGGAAGCAGGUUAAUAUUCCUGCACCGCUGUUCAAUGCGAUGGGGAGACGAAGAAGGUUAGCUCAGCCGGGUGUUGGAUGUCCCGGUUUAAGCAUGUAGCCGUGCCUAGUUGGAAAAUCCGCUAGGAUUAGGUGAGGUGUGAUGACGAGUAGGCUUGCCUACACAAGUGAGUAAUACCCAGCUUCCAGGAAAAUCCUCUAAGCUUCAGUUGAACAGGACCGUACCGCAAACCAACACUGGUGCGUAUGCUGAAUAUGCUCAGGCGCUUGAGAGAACUCAGGAGAAGGAACUCGGCAAAUUGAUACCGUAACUUCGGGAGAAGGUAUGCCUUUAGUAAGUGAAAGAGUACAUCUGGAGCUAAAAAAGGUCUCAGAGAAUCGGUGGCUGCGACUGUUUAUCAAAAACACAGCACUCUGCAAACACGCAAGUGGAAGUAUAGGGUGUGACGCCUGCCCGGUGCCGGAAGGUUAAGUGAUGGGGUGCAAGCUCUUGAUCGAAGCCCCGGUAAACGGCGGCCGUAACUAUAACGGUCCUAAGGUAGCGAAAUUCCUUGUCGGGUAAGUUCCGACCUGCACGAAUGGCGUAACGAUGGCCACACUGUCUCCUCCUGAGACUCAGUGAAUUUGAAGUGGUUGUGAUGAUGCAAUCUACCCGCGGCUAGACGGAAAGACCCCAUGAACCUUUACUGCAGCUUUGCAUUGGAUUUUGAACCGGUUUGUGUAGGAUAGGUGGGAGGCUUUGAAGCUGAAACGCUAGUUUUAGUGGAGCCGUC
rnacentral:rRNA from 1 species